AAAAAAAAAAAGCUCCUCAAAAUAAUUGAAAGAGAUCUUCACCAAGGAGUAGCUGCAAUGUGAAUGGCAGGGUAUCAAGGAAGUAAGAGAGCUAUCACUGCCAAAGGCUACUGACUGAAUAAAGAGAAGAGCUCAAGGAUUUCAGAGAAGAUUUUGAACAUGGUGAUGGAUAAACAACACUUAUAGGAGAAAUGAAGAUACUUUCUCAUCCCUGGUUCACCCAAGUGUCCAGCACCCAGUGAAUGUGAUAAGAGAUAAUGGUGUUUGUGAAGGGUACACAUGCAGUGAUACUGUCACCUUUCUAAAACAGAUGCCACUGUAGACAUUUUGCUAGCCCUCUUUCACUGUACACACAGCUUGGUGUACCUAAUUUAUUAACCCUCAAAUAUUCUAAGACAGAGCUGAGC